GCCGGGCAUGGUGGCUCAUGCCUGUAAUCCUAGCACUUUGGGAGGCUGAGGUGGGAGGAUCACCUGAGGUCAGGAGUUUGAGACCAGCCUGACCAACAUGGUGAAACCCCAUCACUA
ensembl:misc_RNA Metazoa_SRP Metazoan signal recognition particle RNA